UACGGAGGAUGCGAGCGUUAUCCGGAUUUAUUGGGUUUAAAGGGUGCGUAGGCGGACUGUCAAGUCAGCGGUAAAAUUGAGAGGCUCAACCUCUUCCCGCCGUUGAAACUGGUGGUCUUGAGUGGAUGAGAAGUACGCGGAAUGCGUGGUGUAGCGGUGAAAUGCAUAGAUAUCACGCAGAACUCCGAUUGCGAAGGCAGCGUACCGGCAUACAACUGACGCUGAGGCACGAAAGCGUGGGGAUCAAACAGG
rnacentral:rRNA from 1 species